rnacentral:rRNA from 1 species
UGCCAGCCGCCGCGGUAAUACGAAGGUCCCAAGCGUUGUUCGGAAUCACUGGGCGUAAAGCGUGUGUAGGCUGCGCGGAAAGUCAAAUGUGAAAGCCCGGGGCUCAACCUCGGAACUGCAUUCGAUACUCCCGUGCUAGAGUAAUGGAGAGGUAAGUGGAAUUCCUGGUGUAGCAGUGAAAUGCGUGGAUAUCAGGAGGAACAUCAAUGGCGAAGGCGCUCCGCUGGGCCAUCACUGACGCUCAUGGACGAAAGCCAGGGGAGCGAAAGGGAUUAGAUA